rnacentral:rRNA from 1 species
UACGUAGGGUGCGAGCGUUAAUCGGAAUUACUGGGCGUAAAGCGCGCGUAGGCGGCUGAUUAAGUCGGAUGUGAAAUCCCUGGGCUUAACCUAGGAACUGCAUUCGAUACUGAUCGGCUAGAGUAUGAGAGAGGGAGGUAGAAUUCCACGUGUAGCGGUGAAAUGCGUAGAUAUGUGGAGGAAUACCGGUGGCGAAGGCGGCCUCCUGGCUUAAUACUGACGCUGAGGUGCGAAAGCCAGGGGAGCAAACGGG